rnacentral:pre_miRNA from 1 species
CAUCUACUCCCUCCGUUCGGAAUUACUUGUCGCGAAAAUGGAUGUAUCUAGAUGUAUUUUAGUUCUAGAUACAUCCAUUUCCGAGACAAGUAAUUCCGAACGGAGGAAGUAUAUA